rnacentral:lncRNA from 1 species
CACACUCGCCCUAGAGCAUGAGAGAGUGGGAAAGGAGGAUAAAGAGAGAGAGAGGAGCAUCCGGCUGGAGAGGGGGUCCUGCAGCACACUCAGCACCCAUACUUCCCACUGAGACUGACUUGAAGAUUCUAGUGAUAUUACAGUGAUCGGCAGUCAUACUAACUGGUUAAUCUAUCCUGUGUUAACAUUGCAGGGAUCACGAACAGUGUGAGAGAGAGCCAGAGUGGGUUUCACACUCUAACACACCUAACACAAACAGAUUAGAGCAGAUUAACAUGGAUUACCAGAAAAAUGAUUUAGAUCAGAGGCUUAACUAAUGAUUUCAUCAAAAAAAGUAAUCUGUACAUUUUAUUCCCUCCAUCUUUUUCCUCCUCUACUUUAAGUCGUGAGGAGGAUGCCGUGAGAGGUGGAGGCAGGCCAGAACCUAUUAAUCAGGAAGUAGAAAGUUAAUAACGGGGUGCAGGUAACAGAAUGGUAUGGAUUACUCCAUAACCAAAUGCAAACGCACAGUGAACUCUUGGACCUGUACGACCCGUCACCCUGAGCAUUACUAUGAGUAAGAUAUACUGUAUCUGCCCUAAGAUGUGAUCAUACGUAAAACACUUGUACGCCAAAGCAAAAUGUAUUCCAAUAAUAUCUCUACAUUUGAUGACACGUUUUACGGCUGGAUCUGAUAGUAUCUGUAUCAAGUCUGUAUGAUCAAAACUCACUGUAGGACUAGAGUGAAAAGUUAGGUGACAGAGAUCUAGAUAGCAUAUCCGAUAGCUCUCUAAGGUUUAUGAUGAAAGGCGGCUAGGGGCUAGUGAUCUAUUGACUCCCAUUACUGUUGAAUGGUUAGAGUGAAGAGCCCUAGGGAUUUAUAACAGCAUAAACUUUCAGUCCUGGUCGGACAGACAUGUCCUCCUCCCAUCCCUUUCUUUUCUCCUGGUGUGACCCCUCUCCUUUGUUAAUUUCACCAUUCUGUCCAUCUGUUAUUUUCCAUCUCUCUUUUAACUUGACAGAAUCUUAUCCAACUCUCUCUCUUUCCCCUUCUCUCUCUAUUCUUGCUUUCCCUUUGUCCCCAUUUUCUAAUAUUUUCUCUACAUUGUUUUUAUCUUCUCUUGUUUUUUACUCUGUUCUUUCUUUUUGAAACUCUCUUUCACUGAUUUCAAUCUAUCACCAGAACUGUCAUCAUCUUCUUCAUCAUCCUCUACAUCACCAACAACAACCUCAUCCUCACAUACUGCUGUUGAUACUUAUAUCCCAUCUUCCUCCGUUUGUCCAUCUGUCUUUCAUCAUCCUGUUCUUCUCCUUCCCCUGCCCUGAGUCUCUACACACUUCCUCUUCUCCCACCCUAUCCCUCCUUCUUGAUCUUCCCUCCCCC